rnacentral:rRNA from 1 species
AUACGGAGGAUCCGAGCGUUAUCCGGAUUUAUUGGGUUUAAAGGGUGCGCAGGCGGGAGAUUAAGUCGGCGGUGAAAUUUUUCAGCUCAAAUGUAAAAAGGCCUUCGAAACAGGUUUUCUUUAGGGUAGGUGGAGUAAGCGGAAUUUGUUGGGGAGGGGUGAAAUGCAUAGAUAUCACGAGGAACUCCGAUUGCGCAGGCAGCUUACUAAACUACUACUGACGCUCAGGCACGAAGGCGUGGGGAUCAAACAGGAUUAGAUACCCUGGUAGUCCACGCAGUAAACGAUGAUUACUAGCUGUUUGCGAUACAAUGUAAGCGGCUGAGCGAAAGCGUUAAGUAAUCCACCUGGGGAGUACGUUCGCAAGAAUGAAACUCAAAGGAAUUGACGGGG